CUGGAGAGUGCAGCGUUAAUAGAGGAAAUCUUCGGUUUGAAAUCUCGGGCUACCGAGAAAAUCGGGUUAAUCGUCGCAUUUUCACGAAAGUAAGUGGUGUUUGGACCUGAGCUUUUCUUCUAUUUCAUGACGAUUUUCUGCAGCUAUACAACAUGAACUGUAGUUUCGAGCCGAAACUUGUACUUUUCCUUCAAGAUGACUUUCUCCUGCCAGAGUUAUACUUAUGGAAAUAGACAAAUACUUUUUCAUUCCCGUCUUUUGGGUCUGUGGAUUUGAGACGGGAUAGUGUCAGAUAUUUUCAGAUUUUCGAAAUCAGCAGCACCUACUUUUACGCACGGUCCACAGGCUGUCUGAGAGGGCGGAUUACGAGCUAAGGUCCGAACACAACUUACUUUAGUGAAAAUGCGACGACAAAGGAGUAACCCGAUUUUCCGAGAUUCCAAACCGAAGAUUUCCUCUAUUAACGCUGCACUCUCCAGUCAUUAUCAAAAGCCAGCUCUGAACUCAAACUAUGGGUGGAGUCAGCGGAAAAGUGUGCGGGACGCUGCAGCAGACUCUCCGACGCGUCAUUUCUCGGUUUGACGUCCGGCUCGGUUGUGAGGAGCCUCAUGGGAUGGUUGUUACCAUCGACUUUGACGGGCAGAGACUCGCUGUGAUAUCCGUCUCCAGACUGCUGAUGGCGGUGCUGAACAGGAACGGGCAGAGUAGCAGAGUGUGAUCACUGCGGUCGCUCUGUGUGUGCGGACUGACAGCCGCGCCUCCUCAAAACGAGACUCAGCGGAGUGAAAUGAGGAAACGAUCACCGCGUUGGACUGUGCGAAGCCGAGGGGAAAGCUUAUACUCACAGAGCGCACUGGCUCCACCAGGACAAGAAGAAAACGACGCUGAGAGAUGAAGACAACUCAAACGCUUCCUCUAUCGCUCUGUCACUGACCACAUUAAAACAAUUUUGCUCACAUUGCUCUGUUGUCAUUCUUGUAUGUAUUCUCAAAAACCCCGGCCUCCACCGGAGAGAAGAAAAUAAAUCAUUACGCAUUUCUAUUUUUAUAUUAAAUAUCUGACACCAAGAUUUUCUCGACUCACCACAAGACAAACACGUGAUCCCGAAAAGACACAGAGAGAAACAGUCGCUCGCACAGUGAGACAGACAGGUCUUUGAUUUUAUAGAUCAGGCUCUCACAAUACCAUUUCGACUGGGAUUCAACAUUGGAUCAAAUUAGAUACACAGCUUUUAUAUUUGUCACAACAGCAAAACCAAAUUAAACAUCACAGAACAAAUAGAGUUCGUCAUUACAUCUGCCUGUCGCAGCUGGUUUUACGCGCGAUCCACGGGCAACUCUCCGGAGGUGAUUCACUUUUCCUACAUUACAGAACACACAACGAAGCGUGAGAGCGACAUCUCAGUGAGCGAUGAAGCCAUGCAGAGGCGGUCUGACGAGAUCAGAACUGUUCACUUGUAGUGAAAACAGCACUCCUUCCGUGCCCUGAUGUCGAGCACUAACUGGAGCGGUGCAGCGGGCUGUCUGCUGUGCGCUUCUCCUGAGGACGGCACUGAGUGGGGAGGUGCUCGAGCUCACCACUGACUCCUCUGCAUGAUUUGAUGUGAUACUGGGUUGGUUGUGAGCGUGUGAGGGCCUACAUAGAGCGAUAUGGUUGAAUAGGGCAUCAAAAUGGUGUUAAAAAGAAUUUGUGUUGCGGACAUUUAAGGUUUACUUUGUGAUAUUUAUGGCAUCCAGGAGGGCACUCGCUGCGUUUUUUCCACAUCUUCCACUAUGUUGCGUGUCUCUUCACAUCGCAGUCUGAUUUCAAACGGGUGAAGGUGAUUAAGAAGAGAGCGCAGUGUUUGCUGGAGCACAGCAACAAGACUGCUCUUCACAUCAGUCACAACCUCGCUGAAGGCUGUUAUGAAUGAUCGAUGUGUUCGUCGAUCCGUGACUGUGCUGGAGCUCCACAAUGAACCAACCUCCAGUGAUCACAGUGAACUCCUGCACUCUUCGUAUUGGACAAAUUCUGAGUUUGUGACUAGUCCCGGGGGAGGCGCAGUGGGACGAGCAGGUUUUUGCAGCCACGGCUUCGGACAGAUCGCCACUCGCCAGAUGCAGCCUGCUCGCAGAGACCACUUCAGUCAGCGCCGCAAUCACCAGUUCACUACCUGAAGUGCGCGCGGAUUCAUCUGACAUCAAGCGGCUGCUUUCACUCUCUGUGUGUCUGAGCUGAGUUUUGGUCUGAAGACACGGAGGUGGAUUGAACACACUACUGAGCGCCGCACCUCCGCGGAUGCCAGCUUUCUUCCCCGACCGGCCGUUUUCGGGAGUGAGCGGACCUCGUCGGCCGAAGACACGACACAACACAACGUUUGGUCGACUAGUCGUCGUACAGUUGGUCGGUGAGCCUCUGUGCCAGCUAGAGCGCGCAGACUCUCAGUCCGUCAAGUGCUGGAGAAGCAUCAGGAGGAGAGUUUCCUCUGGCACUGCAGCUUUUUACUCUGUUGUUGUGAUUUCAUUCUGAUUGAAUGUGGACGAUAAUGAAGCUCCAGUCGUCAUUCUUUCACUACACACCUAAUGGAUGUAAUUACUGUCACACGAUGAACCUGGUAAAAGUCUGUUGUAUGCUUCCUGUUAUGUUCGUAAUGUUUUAUGUGGUACAACAUACAGACAGAGGCAUAUUAUCAGCAUUGUGGAAUUUUCAUGUUUUUAUGCACAUCUGUCAUGAACAGAUAAAAAAGGUCGGCACCACAUUGUAACAUCUUGACAUGAAUUUUUGUCGGCCAAAUAAUAUUUUUGAACUGUUAUAGAAAAGUUAUAGAAACUAACAUCAUUGUGGCACGUGGUGAUCAUGCGCCUGACCAUUGGACACAGAAAAAAAUCCAGGCUUUGAUUGGUGGAGAGACAACUGAUCACGCACUGAGAAUGUGACUGUGGCCAUUUGAUGCUGCCAGACUGCAACAGCCAGGGAGAGACCGCGAGGAGUGAAGGUCAGGGUUGGAUUCAUUUUACUUGGUUGCUGGGCCGGUGACGUUGGAUUCUCGAAGACGACCAAGCAGCAGAGCGCCCGGAGCCAAUGAGAAAGAGCCGACGACUGUCUCAGCAUUUCCUCAUGUUCUGUCUAUAAAAUACUGGGUCAGGGAGAGGCAGUGUGUCAGACUUCGUGAACUGACCCAACUCUGUUGUGGAUCAGGGAAAGGUUAAGUCGAGACCCAGAGCUCUGUAACCUUGCACAUUCUAUUGAUGUUAAAAUAAAACUGAAUUUUUGGGACUUUUGGGACUCAGAGCUGUUACAACCACGAUACAGCGUUUC